rnacentral:rRNA from 1 species
UUAUUGAGUUAUUUCUAACUCCACCCUUUGUGAACCUACCUAUGUUGCCUCGGCGGGAGAGCCUACCUGGUACCUACCCUGUAGCUACCCGGGAGCGAGCUACCCUGUAGCGCGCUGCUGGCCGACCCGUCGGUGGACCAUUCCAACUCUUGUUUUACAGUGAUAUUCUGAGUGUUUAUACUUAAUAAGUUAAAACUUUCAACAACGGAUCUCUUGGUUCUGGCAUCGAUGAAGAACGCAGCGAAAUGCGAUAAGUAAUGUGAAUUGCAGAAUUCAGUGAAUCAUCGAAUCUUUGAACGCACAUUGCGCCCAUUAGUAUUCUAGUGGGCAUGCCUGUUCGAGCGUCAUUUCGACCAUCAAGCCCUAGUUGCUUGCUGUUGGGAGAUUACCUACGGGUAACUCCUCAAAUCGAUCGGCGGAGUCGUGUCGACCCCAAGCGUAGUAAUUCUUUCUCGCUUCAGGUGUGUCGGUGCUGGCGUCUAGCCGUUAAACCCCCUAUUCUUUAGUGGUUGACCUCGGAUCAGGUAGGAAUACCCGCUGAACUUAAGCAUAUCAAUAAGCGGAGGAAAAGAAACCAACAGGGAUUGCCCUAGUAACGGCGAGUGAAGCGGCAACAGCUCAAAUUUGAAAUCUGGCCUUCGGGUCCGAGUUGUAAUUUGUAGAGGAUGCUUUUGGUGCGGUGCCUUCCGAGUUCCUUGGAACAGGACGCCUUAGAGGGUGAGAGCCCCGUACGGUUGGACACCAAGCCUCUGUAAAGCUCCUUCGACGAGUCGAGUAGUUUGGGAAUGCUGCUCUAAAUGGGAGGUAAAUUUCUUCUAAAGCUAAAUACCGGCCAGAGACCGAUAGCGCACAAGUAGAGUGAUCGAAAGAUGAAAAGUACUUUGAAAAGAGGGUUAAAUAGCACGUGAAAUUGUUGAAAGGGAAGCGUUUAUGACCAGACCUUUGCCAGGCGGAUCAUCCGGUGUUCUUCACCGGUGCACUUCGCCUGGCUUAGGCCAGCAUCGAUUUUCGUAGGGGGAUAAAGACCUAGGGAANGUAGCUCUCUACGGGGAGUGUUAUAGCCCUGGGUGUAAUACCCUUAUGGGGAUCGAG